GAGAGUAUAGCUCAAGUGGUAGAGCGCAUGCUUAGCAUGCACAAGGUCCUGGGUUCAAUCCCCAGUGCCUCCC
rnacentral:tRNA from 1 species